rnacentral:rRNA from 1 species
UCAUAGCGACUAUCGUGGCAUAUCAAUAAGCGGAGGAAAAGAAACUAACAAGGAUUCCCUUAGUAACGGCGAGUGAAGCGGGAAGAGCUCAAAUUUGAAAUCUUCAAGGUUUUACCUUGACGAAUUGUAGUUUAAUAGAAGUGUUUUCUGUUAGUGAAGUUGGCUAAAAGUUCUUUGGAAUAGGACAUCAUAGAGGGUGAGAAUCCCGUAUUUGACCAUUACUUUUCCAGCUGUGUGAUACACUUUCAAAGAGUCGGAUUGUUUGGGAAUGCAGUCCAAAAUGGGUGGUAAAUUUCAUCUAAAGCUAAAUAUUGGCGAGAGACCGAUAGCGAACAAGUACCAGUGAGGGAAAGAUGAAAAGAACUUUGAAAGAGAGAGUUAAACAGUACGUGAAAUUGUCAAAAGGGAAGCGCUUGACACCAGUGUUGUUUUCUCGAAAAUCAAUUAAAAAUGGCUGGAUUUUGUGUUGUAUUGACCUUAAAAGCUUUCUUCACUUUUUUCAUGUCUUUUUUAAUGCACUUUUCGUUUAACAAGUCAACAUCAGUUUCUUUUGUUGUAAAAAGGUCAUUGGAAGGUGGCUUUCACUUCGGUGAAAGUGUUUAUAGCCUUUGGCUUCUACAAUCGGAGAGAUUGAGGUCUGCAGCGUAGAUCCUUCGGGGUUAGAUACGUAGAUGCUAAGUUAUAGUUUUUUAUAGACAACUUGUUGACUAUGAUUAAUCAUGUAGCUUACUCGUUUGCGCUAUUUUACCUACGCUUAGGAUGUUGAUAUGCAUGACUGAUAU